rnacentral:rRNA from 1 species
ACGCGAGGAACCUUACCAGGUCUUGACAUCCCAUUGACCGCUAUGGAGACAUAGCUUUCCCUUCGGGGACAGCGGUGACAGGUGGUGCAUGGUUGUCGUCAGCUCGUGUCGUGAGAUGUUGGGUUAAGUCCCGCAACGAGCGCAACCCUUGAUCUUAGUUGCCAGCAUUCAGUUGGGCACUCUAAGGUGACUGCCGGUGACAAACCGGAGGAAGGUGGGGAUGACGUCAAAUCAUCAUGCCCCUUAUGACCUGGGCUACACACGUGCUACAAUGGAUGGUACAAAGGGCAGCAAAGCGGUGACGCCUAGCAAAUCCCAUAAAACCGUUCUCAGUUCGGAUUGUAGGCUGCAACUCGCCUACAUGAAGCCGGAAUCGCUAGUAAUCGCGGAUCAGCAUGCCGCGGUGAAUACGUUCCCGGGCCUUGCACACACCGCCCGU